rnacentral:rRNA from 1 species
UACGUAUGGUGCGAGCGUUGUCCGGAUUUAUUGGGCGUAAAGAGCUCGUAGGCGGUUUGUCGCGUCGGCCGUGAAAUCUCCACGCUUAACGUGGAGCGUGCGGUCGAUACGGGCAGACUUGAGUUCGGUAGGGGAGACUGGAAUUCCUGGUGUAGCGGUGAAAUGCGCAGAUAUCAGGAGGAACACCGGUGGCGAAGGCGGCAUCCUGGACCGGUAUUGACGCUGAGGCGCGAAAGCUAGGGGAGCAAACGGG